UCGUACUGCAAGAGAAGGAAAGAGGCAGAGUCAGACCACAGGAUCCUGGAGAAGGCCCCGCUGAGCAGAGGGGAGGCUCCUGAUGAGCCUUAGGCAGAGCGACUGCAGGUCAGGCAUCCAGGCCUGGAACUAGAGCUGGGAUAGUGUUUCAUUCUGUAUGAAAGUGUGUGUGUGUGUGUGUGUGUGUGUGUGUGUGUGUGUGUGUGUGUGAGAGAGAGAGAGAGAGAGAGAGAGAGAGAGAGAGAGAGAGAGAGAGAGAGAGAACGCAGUGUCCACUACUGGUGCCAAUGGCAAGCUCACACGAGAAUCUUGUGCCACGCUGAGAGGCUCCAGUUGUGUCUAAAGCUCUCGGAGACAGAGAUAGACCGGAGAGUGAACUCCAUGCCUGACCAGCCUCUCUCAACCCUCAGGUCCUGGGACCCCUUGCUGUGCAGCACCCAUGACAGCCACCUCAGUGACCCGGGGGAGAGGCAAGGGAAGGAAGGGCUUCUGGGCUCUCACAAUCCUGCACCCUCUGUAGCCGGAUCUCACGGCACCCAGAGCCUUCCUGGUGGGGACCCUCACAGCUACAGGCAGACUAACAGCAACUGGUGAUGUGGGAGCCUGCCUUCUGCUGGCCACCCUGCUAGCCUGAGCCAAGAGCCAGUCUAUGGAGGACCACUAACCCUUACAGUGCGGAUCCUAAUUCUAUAGAGUAAAUUCUGGCAGCAAAAGGCUCCAAGCCCAGUGAAAACUCUGAGAAGACACAAGUGUCUGGGGUGGGAGGGGGCCCUGCCGUGGGGUGGGCUGCAGAACAGGAUUUCUUAUCCCGGCAGAGGUGAAGAGGGCUUGUGGGAUAGCCUGGGGUGCCCUAUUAGGCGAGAGGCAUUUAUGUUAGCGGUUUCCAACCACGUUCAGUAGAUCAGAACUGGUGAGCAGUGGGGGCUCUGGAAAUGUUUCCAACAGGGAGGAGGUUGAUGAACUGCUGUCUUGAGCUCAGUCACUCUGUGUGGACGCCCACAUGGUACUCAGCCUGUGGAGCAGAGUGUGGCCAAACUGUAGGAGGAGAAGCUGCAGACCCCAGUCAGGCUGUGUGGCCCAAACAGCCUCAUCACACCCCCAAAGGGAGCUGCCCUGAGAAAGAGUAGCUGAGGUCAUGACCAAGGAGCCACUCAAGAUAGUGCCCAUAUGACCUGUGAGUCCUGUCUUCCCGUUCUGGAUCUUGGUGGACUCACUUCUAAGGUGGGGUACAGCCAGCCAAUUCCAAGGGUGGCAUAGGCCCUUCCUUGGUGGCAAGCAGUUUCUAUUAAACAGCUGGUGGCUACGAGGGGAGCCUAUCAGAGCGCCCACAGCUCCCCCUGCCAUUUUCCCACCUUCUAGUGACUCUUGAAGGCACAGGACACCAUCCCAUCAGGCUAACACCAUUUUAUCAGGCUAUAGGCAGCUGUCUACCCAAGACGCUUCAGGCAAUGGUCGGCACAACACUGCCACCUGGUGGCUGCUUCGGUGUAUGCAUGUCAGUGAACAGAAACACAUUCCAGCCUCUGUUGGCUUUAUCUUACUCUGUUGGGGCUAAUGGAGUGGUGGGUGGGAGGAGGAAUGUUUGGAGGAUGGGGUCAUGUUGGGAAGACUAUAAAGGCAUAAGUCCUGUGGAAUCCUUGGUUCCCAGGGCUCAUAGUGUGGUGGCAGAGGGGCCCAGGAACCUUCCAUAUAGUCGAGGACUAACCACCACCUCCUAGGGCAGUUGUACAAGGCAUAGGCCCAAGCAAAGGAGCCUUUCCCAGGAAAGAGCGAAACCAUGGAAGGGCAGAGAUGCGGGGGCGGGGGCUUAAUGGUAGAGACUUGAGGGUAGAGGGCCAGGGGCUGUUCCCAAUAGAACAAAGGCCUGGGAUGUCAGGACAGCAGUUCAGACAGAGAAGGCACAGGCUAGGGAGAGGACAGGGUGUAGUUUUACUGGUGGCUGGGAGAGUCCCCGGGAGGCUGUGUGUGUGUGUGUGUGUGUGUGUGUGUGUGUAGAGGUAGCUGGACCACAGGGACAACAGCCAUCAUGCAGUCAGAAGACAAAGAGGAUAGGUCUAUACCCUUGGGGUGGGGGUUGACAGUCCUGGGGGCUGCCUGAGAAGUGACACCUUGGGGUGAGAUACAGUAGAUCCUGACCUGGAACCUGCAAGGCCUAGGCUAGCUAGGAUGAAAUUUUGAGUGGUGGUCAUAAGUCUGGGGUGGGUCUGAAAUAUUCAUUUUCUAGUGGCUUCUAGGUGACUGGAGUUGGGGUCAGUUCUGAAAGCAAGCCUGACCAAUCACAUGACCAACAUGACCACAGUGAUGUAGGGAGGGUUGGAGUGGGAGGGCCAGAGGCUAGACUACGGUGGUCAGGUGGGUGAUGGUGAACCACGAGGAGAACUAGGGACAGGCAGGGUAGGGUAUCGCACUUUGAAAGCCAGCAGUGAUUCUCAGAUGAGGGAAGGAAAAGGCUCACAUGGUACCAACGCGGUCAGGGCUGGAGAUGCUGCCUGAGCUGUUCAGAAGUAGGCCGUGCUGUGCCCAGCUCCCAGGGCAGAAGGAAGCCUGUGGGGCAGUGGAACUUUCUUCAUUUAAUGCUGUCCGGUUGGCCCCGCCCCAGGAUAUCCUAGCCUGAGACUGGUGCUGGGCAGAUGGGAACUGCAGCUUUCUGGGUAGUGGGUAGGGGAAGCAUGGCUGACCAGGCAGUGGGGCCUCCAUGUGUGGGGUCAGGGGUCCGUGCCUGUGGUGGCUGGGCAUGGGAGCGGGUCUCUGGGAGGGGCAAGGACCUGCCUUCCAGUUCACUGUGAACGCUCCUUUCUUUGCACUCUGGCUUGUAGUGGAGAAGGAGCGGCAAGCACACACUUGCCUUUUCCUGUGCUGCAGCCCAAGCACACGGAGACCCUGGGGGCUGGCACCACGCAUGGAUCCCUCGGCCCCCGCCCUCUCCCUGGAGCUUUUUCCUUUUUAGGUUAUCCUGGCUGGAAAAAGUCACCUCCCCCACUCUUGUUUUCCCUAAUUCCCCAAAUGAAAUUUCAACAUAUGUCCCCCGACAUAAUCCCCCUUAGGCUGCGGAUAACCUUCCCACAGACGAGGUCCUCCACCGGGGAUUCUUCGUCCCCAAAAUGUUUGCCCAAGAGACUAGGGCCGCUUCUGGAAGCCCUUUCACUCCCUUGGGCAAACAGAGAGUACCUUUGAAGGUGGAUUUGAGCCCAGGCCUGUUUACUCAAGACAUUAGUCUCCUGCAUAAGGAAAACCUGCACUUGAGUACAAACAGCAAAUCCUUUUUGAAUUAAAAAUAUUUUCAAUUAAAAAGCAUUUGGUGUGCAGAGCCCAGUCCAGCUGAGCAGUGAAGGGCAGGGUGCCCUCUGGUGGACACAGCCUGUCAUCGCAACUGUAGUGCUGGCUUGGCCUAGGAAAGAGAUAUCACUGUCAAAGGCUCUGUAGGGGACUUUCCCAGAGGCCCCAGGACCUUGUAAUAGACAGCCUCAGGCCUCUCAGGCAGACAGGUCAGACAGUGGGUCACGGUCUCCACAAGCCCUUGCUCUCAGGAGACUAGCAUUGUGUUAGGAGGAGGUGGCAGCAUCAUAGAGGCUAGGUCACUGCAGCCACCAGGGAAAGGGGUGACUAGCUUCUCCUGCCACUCACAGGGGAGCUGUGGGAGUCACUGGGGUGAUCUGUGCCAACACACCCAGCAGUGCUUGUGCCCAAGAGGCCGAUAUGGGGAAAGCAGCAGCAUUUAUGAAAGGUCCUGGGUCCUUUUAAUGAUUGGUAAGGGGAGGCUUGCCUGACUCAGAAGUGCUUGCUGCCUACCAACGGGGCAGUAGUGGGGGUGGGGCUGGCAUGCACAGGUUGUACCUGCUCAGGCCCUCGUCCUCUCCUGAUUCAGUGCCAGUCACAUCCACAGGGGGACAAGGCAGGCAGGAAGGUUUCUUUCUAGCUCUUUACUCUGCAGUCAGGAAGCAUGCUGAGGGAAGGAUCCAACUUCCUGAGACCCCAGAGUGAGGCAGGACAGUGCUGGUCCUGGCCCAGAGGGGAGCCUGGAGCAAAUGCUGAGCUGGACAGGUGUCCAUGCCCACCCCUUGAUGGGCUGCAGGUGGGAGACAUGGGGUCAGGUGACAACCAGAGCCAAAGCAGGUGGCGUGGCAGCAGAUCACAGAAGGCCCUGGAGUGUGGGCUAGAAUAGCAGAGAGAUGGUUCAGGGGUGGAGAACAGUGGAGGGAAGGCUGGGCUUUCACAGAUGGCCUAAUGCCAGGGCAGAGGGAGUAGUAGAGGCUAGACCAGACAGCCCAGGAUAGCUAUGAAUUCAGUCGAGAACAAAAAAGUAAUUUAUUAAAACAUCAUAAAAGUUCACUUACUUUUUUUUUUUUUAAGACAAGGUAGCCUCGGCUCUACAUCCACAGAGAUCUGCCUGCUUCUGAAGUGCGGUAUUAAUGGCGCGCACCGCCACCCCCAGCUCGAGGGUUGACAUUUGUUGGACCUCAACCACACCAUUCUUGAGGAUGAGCUUUGUAAACGACUGUGUGGUGAGAGAAGUUGAGGGGCAGGACACAGCAGCCACCCGCCUGCUCUUCAGACCUCCCUUGGGCUAUUCCAUUAUCCCUCACCUCCCAGGCACUGCCACAGCCUGCACUCAAACCUGUGUCCCAUUUGUAAAUACACCUUAGACCUCAGCCCUUCCUCAUCCACAGCUCAGCCUCCAAUGAGCCUCCAUUCUGCCAGGUGCCCUUUCCACUCAUGGGCUCCAUGUUCUCCAUGCUGUGUCUUGGACCUGGGGUUCAAUCCUGGGGAAGGAUUGGGGUGGGUCUGCUGUGGGCUGGGCCUGCUGUGGAGCGGGCCUGCUGCACCGCAUUUCUGGGAUGGGCUAGCUUAGACUUUGCAUCUGCCCUCUAACAGGGACUCUAGAUAUUCCACUUAGCAUGCAGGGCUGGGAACGUCUGGACCCAUGCAGUCCGCAGGCAACCAAAGGGCUGAAUGACACAGAGGGGGAGGACUCUGGGGUCCAUGUCUUGUCAAUGUUUUCUAUGUGAGUCUGUACUGGGUGACAGCAAGGCCCAGCAAGAGUGUCACAGGCAAAGUGGGGGAGCUGGGCUUCUAAUGGGGCAGGAUGACCAGCGCCACAACAGUGAGCACCCCGGUUCUGUCCUCUCUCCAUGUGGACACUCAGCAGAGUCACACGCUACCUGACUCCCAUGGAGCGACUGUCAGCCUCCGUGCCUCUCCUGGAGAGAGGUGUACACUUCCCAGCUAGGCAGAGGAUGAAGGCUGCCACACCACAGCGGCAGCAAUACCACGCUGUCAAUGGGGACAUUUCAUGAAGCAGAUGGAAAGCUCUAUAUCACGACUAUUAAAAGCUGAGAGUGAAUGACAGGUAGAGGAGCUGCACGGCUGAGAACGGGGGAACAAGCUUCCUCUAUGGAUACAGAACAGCCUCCCCUUGCUGUGGUCCCACAGGCAGGCACCUGUGGGUGGGGCCUGCUUGCUGGGGAGGCCUGGGAUUGGGUGGGUCUGUGGAGAUGUAUGUGUGUGUGUGUACAGGUGAAUGGAAGCCACAGUUGUGGUUGAGAUGGCAUCUCAGCAUUCACCUGGACAUUAAAAACUGGGGGGGGGGGCUGUCUGUAAUGCUGGAACACACCCUCCUCUACGUCACUGCAGGAAACACCUGAAGAGACGCUGCAGGUCGUGCAAUGCCACAUGGGGUAUCCUGUGGAGGUCCUGCCCCACUCCAUCUCUGCUACAAUACAGGUGUUUGUCACCUCUGCCUGGCAACUUUUUCUAGCUCUGCUUGGGGAAUUGCUGUACUUUAACAUGUGGGAUUAAAAAGUCCCAUAAACCCGAAGAAAAAAAAGUGGAAACCCUCCUCUGAAGGACCUGCGAAAGCCAGCCGCUCACCUUGACUCUGGUUCUGCACAUGUAGGAGUGUUGACAAUGGAGCCCUGACAGAGAAUGCGGACUUGAAGAGCAUCUCUGCGGCAGCUACAGUUCCACAGCUCUUUAAUUUCAAUGCUGCGUGCUCCAGGCCACCAUGCCGACAAACUGUGGUAGCCACUCUUAGGUGCUGUGGCCUCCAAUAAAACUCAAAAGAUGGAGCAGCAUUCUCAACCUGUGGGCCAUUCCCCCUCCCCCGCAGCAAACCUUCACCUCAAAAAAUGUUUACAGUAGGAUUCAUAACAGUAGCAGAAUUACAGUUAUGAAGUAGCCAUGAGAUAGUUUCAUGGUUGGGGUCACCCUGACAUGAGGAGCCGUAGUAAACCACUGCAGCACUGGAAGGCCAAGGACCACUGCGACAGACACGCCGCAGUCGUUAGAGAACUUACUUCUCUUCCAAGGGAGCUGAGUUUGCAUUCCAGCACCCACACUGGGUGGCUCACCAUUCAUAGCUCCAACUCCAUGGGGUCCGAUUCUGGCCUGUGAGCGCACCCUCACACACACAGCACACACACACACAUACACACACACACACACACACACACACACAUACACACACACACACACAUACACACACACGCACACACAUGCACACACAUGCACGCAGAUAUACAAGAGACAAAUACAAAACCGCAAAGAGCCGGGGCGGCACACGCCUUUAAUCCCAGCACUUGGGAGGCAGAGGCAGGCAGAUUUCUGAGUUUGAGGCCUGGUCUACAGAGUGAGUUCCAGGACAGCCAGGGCUACACAGAGAAACCCUGUCUUGAAAAAACAAAACAAAGCAAAACAAACAAAGCCACAAAGACAGUGUGGGGGGCUGGGGGGUGGGAACUCAGAGCAUGGUGGGGGAAAACACAGCCAUGUCCACAGGUGACUGAAAGCGGCCCUGAGAGGCUGCACCCAUCCCAGUGAGAUUAUGCGGGAAAGAGAAACACAGGGCCAAUUCUCAAACAGGAGAAAAGACAAACACGGGUAACGUAACGCCACUAAAGAGGCCUGGGGACCUGGAAGGGCCAGCUGAGGGAAGGGGUACACCAGGAAGGGGACAGGUGCUACACUACACGAGCGGUCAGGGUGGUGUCUGGGCUGCUGGUCUGUGGGUAAGGUGACAAGGACAGCGACAUUACUGUUGCUUCAGUUCAGGAGAGGCCUGCUCCAGAAUCUCAGCCAGCACUGGGAGCGUCCUCUAUACAUGCGGCAGAUGAGAAGGCGCAAGCAAUGGCCCUGCUGACAGAAGUCACAGCGACACACAACACCCAGCCAUGUCCUGAAAACCAACAGGAGGGGCUGGGCAUGCGGCUCAGUCGGCACAGAUCUGGCCCUGCACACACUGGGCCUAGGUUUGAUCCCCUGCACUGUAAAAACCCGGCAUGGUGCUACCUAUAACCCAGCACUGGGAAGUAAAGACAAGGGGACCGGAAGUUGAAGGUUAUCCUCAGUUAGAUACAGAGUUUAAGGGCAGCCUGGGCUACUUGAGACCCCAUCUCAAAAGAACAGCAGAAAGAAACACACGAGAAUUCAUUAAAGAGAACCCUUUGGUUUCCCACUGGCCAAUACACAAAGACCCGGGUGGACAUGCGUGUAAAACGCCAGCCACCCUAUCACCCGUGAUUCUGUGCAGUCUCACAAAAAAAACCUUGGGGAGAGGUGUAAUGGUCCCUUUAGGGCUGGGCUCUCCAGGGUCUCAUUCUCUGUGGGUUCCACGCUUGGUGGUUCUUGUUAUUACUGCAAGGAGGAGUUUCCCUGAUUGGGAGAUGUCAGGCCCCUCCCCUCUCAGUUGGACCCCUCCCCUCUCAGGCAGAUGGUGAGAUGGCUCAGCAGGUACAGGUGCUUGCUACCAAGCCUGAAGACCUGAGUUCUAUCCCUAGGACCCACCUGGUGGGAGGCUGAAAAUUGCCUUCUGCCCUCUGUAUGCAUGCACCGCAAAUAAACAAUGCACCGAAAACUGUUGAUGGAAGGUGGAAUGUUGGUGGCACAAGUCUCUAAUUCCAGUUCUGAGGUGGAGGCAGGAGAUUCAUGAGCUCAAGGCCAGCCUGGACUAUACAUUGAUCGGGACCCUCUCUCAAAAUAAAACAAAACAAUAAAAUAGUUGUACAAUCGCCCCUCCUUGGAAGGCUGUAAGGUUCCGAUGGAAUAAUUAUGCCUCUAAUUAGGAAAGUCCUGGGGGCACACAGAGAACUCAGCUAAGCCACCGUAUGUGAGAGCGAGGCAGCACAGAAGGCACGGGAACACAUGGAAAGACGGGAAAAGAUACACAGAGAGCUCACAGAAGAAAAUGAGCGGAAAACUGCCUAAGCCUUAGAAAUAAAGCCAGCUCUUUACUUUCCAGUACACGCCAAAUGGAUCAAGGGUUUGGUAAGUGUUUAAUAUUUUGGUAUUUUAAAAUAUAAAAUACAGAAGGGAAUGCAGUGGUUUUUAUUGUAAAAAUGCCAUGAAAACGAAAUCCAAAACAUUUACCCAGCCCAAGGUUGCCAUCUUUAAAGGAUAAAGGGCUCUUAAAAAUAAGAGGGGAUGGGGGCUGGUGAGAUGGCUCAGUGGGUAAGAGCACCUGACUGCUCUUCCGAAGAUCCAGAGUUCAAAUCCCAGCAACCACAUGAUGGCUCACAACCAUCCGUAACAAGUUCUGACUCCCUCUUCUGGUGUGUCUGAAGACAGCUACAGUGUACUUACAUACAAUAAUAAAUAAAUCUUAAAAAAAAAAAUAAGAGGGGAGGGAUCAGCCUGAGGGGGGGGAGGGGUCAGCCUGAGAGGGGAGGGAUCAGCCUGAGAGAGGGAAGAGUCUGACAUACCCUCCAAUCAGGGAAGCUCCUCCUUGUAGUAGACAACAAGAACCACCAUUCACGAACACGCAGAGACUAAGAAGAGACUGGCGAGCCCAGCCCUAAAGGGGACAUUUGCGUCACACCCCUCAGCAAGGCUCUGGGAUCUUCGAGGAAGAGGGGUCUGUUGUUCUGUUCCCAGCUUAAGUUGGGCGACUCACAGCUGCCUGUAACUCCAGCUCCAGGGGGAUCAGACACCGCUGGCUUCUUCAGGUGAGCUCUUGUGCAUAUGCCACAUCCCCAUGUAACUAAAAGUAAAUUCUCUAAAAAAAAUAAAAGCAGCCGAGGCCCAUGGUAAUAUCAAGAAAACGGUGUUUCCCAGGCACCAGCACAGAGGACAUGAGCUCACAACUGUGCGGGCGUGCCAAGGCCAGUGCACGCUCCAGCCAGCCAGAAUCCUUGCAGCAGGGCUUAAGGUGGACACGAAAUCCCACUCCUAGAUGAAAAAAUAUUGGUAUUUUCUAGGUGCUGGAAGGAGUCUUUGUCAAUGUGACCUCUUGUGGGAUGGCCACACACAGGCAGAUGACUGUCACCGAAGGCUAGCUGGGCAGCACAAACGACUCAAUGGAAAGCCAAACAAACCAAAAAACAAAAGUCAGAAAUCUCAAAGUUGGGUGGGAGGGUGGAAAUGGGAGGAGUUGGAGGUUGAAUAUAUUUAAAACACAUUGUAUGAAAUUUUCAAAGAAUUAAUAAAAGUAUUACUCAAAAGCAAAUAAAAAGAGGCUGGGGACAAUAAAAAAAAAAAAUGCCUUAGAGAAGUGAUUCUCAACCUGUGGGUCGCGACCCCUUUGAAGCGCAGUCUUCUCACAGGAGGUGUAUAUAAGACAUCCUGCGAAUCAGAUGUUUACACUGUCAUUCAUAACAGGAUCAAAGCACAGUUAUGAAGUAGUGACAACAUAUUUUAUGGUAGAGGGUCACCACAACUUGAGGAACUAACUGUAUUAAAGGAUUGCAGCAUUGGGAAGGCUCAGAACCACUGGCUUAGAAGGUAGUGUUUGCUGUGUGCAUAUGAAAAGCCGAGUUUCACAGAACUCACACAGCCAGGCUUGCCACUGUGCUCCUGUGACGCCCACGCUGUGCAGCAGCAACAGGAGUGUCCCUGGGUCUCACAGGCCAGCUGCACUAGAGAACAGCAGCUCCGGGUUCAGUGAGAGACCUUAUCUCAAACGUUAGGAGGACAGUGACAGAGAGGAAGGACCCUUGAUGCUCACCCCUGGACUCUGCACAGACAUCUGCAUGGGUGAGUGCACGCCAUGCACCCCACGGAGGGGGAAGAUGAAGGAAAGGGAGGGAAACCACCACGCCACGAGCACCAAGCCAGCAAGCAGCGGACAGCCAGGGGUGACAACAGACCAGUGUGGGGACCGUGGAGCGCCUCUGGGCUGGGCUGGAAUGUAGAGAAAGCUAGCCUGUGCUCCUUUGGUUGGGGCUUAAGUGGGCUCAUCUCCACUCGGAAAGCAAACUAGUAUUUCCCCUUCUAAAGAAAGCCAUACCCAGGGGAGCAAAGCCACACACACAGCAAAUCAAGUCACACACACUGAGAGAGGGUCACUGGGGAUGAGCCCAAAUUCACUCAGCAGGUGACUGGCUAAGUACAUACAUCAAGGGCAUGGCAUGUGGAGUGAGGGUACACCCCACAAAGCCACAGACUAACCCCCCCCCCCAGUGCCAAGCAUGCGGACUCACUGAGCUGUUGGUCAGAGGGGACUGCUACACAGCUUACUGCUGUUGCUGGAAGACUUGGAGGAGUCCAGCGAGAGCUGAGUGGAAGCCUCUCUCUGAGGAUCAGCCCUCAGACAGAAGUGCUAACAUGGGCUGCCAGUGUGCGCUGCCAGGGAGAAGCAGUCAAAGUCCCACUCAGCCGUGAGGCCUGGGAAGCACCACUGGGGACAGCAUGGCAAGAUGCACCCGUGGGCAGCAGUGGCACCUGCACCUUAGAGGUGACCAAACCUCCUCGUCACUUAAGGCCUGCUCAGUAUGAGGAAACUCAUGCCUGUGGUUGGUGAGGCCAUGGGCCCUAGAAAGGAACGAACUGUUGCCAGUGACAAUAAUUUCCAACAGCGUUCUAAAUCCUUCCCCUCAGGCCCACAGAGAAGCGUGGCUCUCACUCUUCAUCCACAAAGCUUCUUUUCACAGAAGACAAGACCGUUACGGAAGCCACAACUGGCCAAAAUGCAGAGGCCGUCUGACUGUGGGGUGCCCAGGCCCAGCUGAUAAACAUAUAGAAACUGUACCCUAAAGAUUCGAGGAACACUGCAGACGGCAUGGGGAGGUUUGGAGGGGGGAGCCUGUCAAAGGCAGAGAGCCUGGAUGCCAGCUACAAGAUAGUUGUACCUGUUAAAUCUCAACAAUGUGGCUGCUUGGACAAGACCUGCCCAGUGAUGCCACUAGCUGACAGGGAAAACCUCACACGGUUCCAACACUAGAGGAAGAGCUAUCAGUGACUAGUGAUUGCUGAGAGAUGGAGUGCCAGACUUCUAUAAGUCGAGCCCCUGGUGGGUUAUAAUCCUAUGUGGUCAGCCAAUCCGUGUGGUCAUCCCUAAACACAAGCCAAACCAGCAAUUCUCGAUGGACUCAGGUGUGUGUGUGUGUGUGUAAUUGAAGAGGUCAUGAAGUUGAAAGGGAGUGGAAGUGUAGUGAUAGAAAUACAGUAUAUAAAACUCUUGAAAAAGUGUUUUGUUUUUUUAAAGGCAGGGAAUUCGGCCAGCAGAAGGAAUGGGCUGCAGACUGCAUUUUGGCCAGUUGUGGCUUCUGAUACAGUCUCCAUCUGCUAGCAGCAAAAAAAAAAAAAAAAGCCUCUUUGAUGAAGGGAGGGCAUUAGGAGGAAGGACUUAGAGUGUGCAGGAGUGGGGAGCAGGUUUCAGAGCUAUGACUGCGGUAGGCAGCUUGCUGGUGUAACACUGAUUAGAUGUGUGUGUCUGAGGUGGGUAGCUUGCUGGUAUAACACUGGUUAGAUGUGCAUGUCUGAGGUGGGAAGCUUGCUGGUGUAACUAACACUGGUUAGAUGUGCGUGUCUGAGGUGGGCAGCUUGCUGGUGUAACACUGGUUAGAUGUGCGUGUCUGAGGUGGGCAGCUUGCUGGUGUAAACUGGUUAGAUGUGCAUGUCUGAGGUAGGCAGCUUGCUGGUGUAACACUGGUUAGAUGUGUGUGUCUGAAGUAGGCAGCUUGCUGGUGUAACACUGGUUAGAUGUGCGUGUCUGAGGUGGGCAGCAGGGGAGAUUCACUCUGUACUUCACAUGUUUCUGAGUUUGUAUUUUCAUGCGUGUGCAUGGGUCUGUCGGGAAAACACCAAGUAUUGAAAAGUUGAUGCCUGGACAGGAGGAGAUAGCUCUGUUGGAAAAGUGUCCGCCAUGCAAGCAUGAGUAGCCGGGUUCAGAUCACAAGCGCCCAUGGAAAGGCCAGUGUGAGCCCAGUGGUGGGUAAGCCCAGUGGUGGGCGAGAGAUCCUGGAGCACACUGGCAAAGCCUAGCCUAGCUCAGUCAGUGAGUUCCAGGCUCAGUGCAAGAUGCUGCCUCACAAAGUGAGGCACAGAGAAAAUCAAGGAAGACCCCCAAUCCCCACAAUGAUCUCCAACUGGGAGGAGUCCUGAGUCUGCUUCAAAUGGUGCCAUACCAGAGAGGUCCUCUUCAGUGGGAGAGGAGGAUUAACGCUGGUCUGCGGCAUGACUCGUGGGUGCAUGCCUGUGGUUAGCAGAAUGUGGCAGUGAACCAACCGCCCUCACACUUUGGAAGGCAUCUUUUAGGCCUUUAGAAAUGCCAUCCAAGGGCUGGAGAGAUGGCUCAGUGGUUAACAGCACCGACUGCUCUUCCAAAGGUCCUGAGUUCAAAUCCCAGCAACCACAUGGUGGUUCACAACCAUCUGUAAUGAGAUCUGACACCCUCUUCUGGUGUGUCUGAAGACAACUACAGGGUACUUAGAUAUAAUAAUAAAUAAAUCUUAAAAAAAAAUCCCAUCCAAGCCACCUACUAAGUUCUUUAACAAAUUUAAAAGUUUCUUUGUAGCUGCAGCCACUGCACGUGUGCUGACGGUACAGCGAGGCACAGGAUAAACUGGCGGUCUGCUGACUGCCACACCCCUGCCUCACCAUGCACUGUCUUUUGGAGUUUCUUUGUUUUGCAUAGGAAUGGUCUCAAGCCAGUGUGAUCUCUGUAAAAAUUUAGAUGGCAGCUGGGACCUUGGAAGAAUAUACAGGAGCUUAUAGCAGUCUACUGGAUCAAUCACACUUGGUUCACGAGGUAUUCUGCUGAGGCCUCUGAAGACAGCAGACAGGAGUGUAUGACCAGGCUGAGAGCUGAGACAGCGCCAGCAUCCGGGCUGAGUUACUUCACUAAUCAUGGCUUCACUCGUUUCCCACCACCCACGUCUCAGUGUGCACCUGAAUGCUGUGGUUUUUGCGUUUUCCAUGACCCUGCUCCUUGCCAUCAGGCUGCCUGAGGGUCCCCAAAGCAAUUUGUUUUGCCAUGUUAUUCAUAAGCCAAAAGGAGCAAUUUAUCAGCCACAGCCGGAGACUCCGGAGCCCCACGCACAAGAGGACGGAGGAAGGAGUGUGGGCGCAGGAGUCAGCUGCACAUGCCGCGGUGCCAGCUUGUUAGCCAUGUGGCCUUGGUAAGUCACCCAGCCCUGAGUCAGAGUUUCAUCUGCCCCAGGAUACAUAAGCCCCCCAUCUGCAAUGCUGGGCAGGCAUGUGAGACAGUACACAUGAAUGAGCUGAGCAUGGCAGACUUACUGCAUCCACUCAUGCAGAUAUAAAGCAGUGCCUGGUUUUUCGGGGAAUGAGUUCAGGUCACAAACUCCUGCCUCACAACUGCUAUGAUCAGGACAGAGGCUGACCUGUCUGAGCCUUUCUUUCAACUGUAAAAGAAAAAGAUAAUGUUUGGGCUACUCAAGUUGCAAUGAGCUAAAAACAACUUCUCAGUUGGCUAGGGGUGGUAGGUAAUCUUACUGCUGCAGAGGAAAGGCCCCCCACAGGCUCUAGGCACCCACGUUAAACCAUCUGCCCCACGGGUCCUAACCCAAAGGCACGGGUACAGUGCCUUUUCUUGUGUGACUCACAGGGUACCCAACACUGUCCUUCUUGGCAUCUGUCCUCUCUGAGUGUCAGAUGAAGCCUGAUCUGGAAUGGAGGUCCUGGUGCAGUCUAGUGCCAUGUAGGUAAAGAGUUAGAUGUGAGGUGACUGAAGAAAACCAAGGCUGAGUCUCCCAGCCAACAGAACGCUGUUGUGGUGGAAUAUCUUCAAAGCUGUAGCUAGGAUUGUGCUAUGUCCUCCACAGGCACUAAUGAAGGGUCUGUAUGCUCGAGAGACCUGGCACCAUUAAAAUACCAUGUGCAUUGUGGUUUUGACCUCAAGUCUGGUCCCAUGGGCUUUCCUAGAGGAUCAUGGGAAGAAAUGCCAUGAAAGAAAAAUCUGGUCCAUCAUGAGUUGUGAAGGAAAAGGGUCACUAUCACCUCAUGAAUAUGCCACCUCAUAAAUAUUUCUAAAACCUUAAAUCCAUAUCAUAGAAUGCACUAGGCUAUAUUCCAUGUUGGGGGCAGUUCACACUGUGUCUGACUGUUGGCUUUGCUCUGCUAAAUGAACUUCUGCUUAAAAUAUCUGUGUUUUGACUGACUUCUUUCCUUCAAGAAGACAAGAACUAGAGAUAUUCCCUACCUCAAAUGAAUUCAGCUGUUUGAUGUGCCUUGGAAAAGAGCCCUAAAGGGCUGGAAGGACUGCUCAGCGAUGCAGGGCUUGCUCAAGCAUGUGCAAGGCUCUGACUUCCACCCUAGCACCGUAGACAGAAGCAGAAACAAAACCAAAACUACUGUAAAGAAGUCGGAGGUUAAACUACAGGAGCCUCUGGUUCUGUUAAGCACAGGCCAUCUGGACCUCACAUGUACACAAUCAUCUCUAGAUCCCAUCUCCACGCAAAAUGUUUGACACUGUCACUUUAAUUGAGGGGCAAUUCCUUUCUACGUCCGAGUACCCCAUGUUCCACAUCUCAAGUACCAAGAGGCCUCAGGCCCCUGCUUUGAGCAGCCACUCCUCUAAUGCAGACAGACACCUGGUUAGGUGAGGGAGGUUCUUAGAGAGCUCUGAGCCCAGGAAGGGCAGGAGGGCAUGUCCUACACCCAGAAGGGACUAGAAACCUGGCUAGAACGGCUACGCUCCUCCACAGGGAAAGCCUUUUAACUUUAUUAACUCUGUCAUGGCUUCACUCCAAAACCACUUGCACUUGGCUUAAGGUGAAGACAGUUGUCUCAGGAUCACGUCCAUGGGAGUAACAGGGGGCCUCCGUGGUCAGGAGGGGGCUCCUGGGGGCUGUGCUCACACUUGCUGCUCCAAGAUGGAAUUCUGAAGUCUGUUGGUGAGCUGGAGAUGAAGCAGGGAGCCAGAUUGUGCAGAAAGAAGAGCAGAAUCUGGGCCCAGGGAGGCCUGUUCCCCAGUUCUCUGUGUGUGUGGGUCUCCUCUAGCCAUGUCACUGUUACUGGAGUCAAGCUGGGUGGCCACUGGACAGGCCCUGCGCCACACACCCGCUUCCCGUAGACAGACACCCGAGGAGGAGAGAUGCACCUUCCCUUCCAGGGCCCCUUUUCAUUUUAACACCAGCACAAACAAUUUUAAAUUGUACUUUUUUGAAUGUCUCAAUAUAUGAAUCUGUUUUCUAAGGUAUCCAUUCCUAAAGACCAGCUAAGCUAAAAUAUCCUGAAGUUCCUAGCCCCAACCCCAAGGCAGGGGUCUGCAAAGGCCUUGGGCCCUUCGCUGUUUUCUGUGCAUUUAUAUGUGUCUUCAUGUGUAAAGAAAUAUAUGUGUGUGUGUGUGUGUGUGCACGCGCAUGUGCAAGCUUGCUCAUGCACACACGUGUAUGCUAGUUAACCCAGAACCAUAGCGUAAGUGUUCUGCAUCUUUUCCCUUAGCUGUGGAACUUGCCAUUAGAAGGCAAAGCUCUAACUCGGACUUUUUAAAAACAGCUUCAUAGGAAUAUGGGGCAGAGACCUACAGCCAGCUUCCAAGGUGCCUCGUCUUCCUCCCAAAUGGCUGUUAGAAGAGUCAUACAAAGGCUUGUGGGCUGGAGAGACUGGGGAUAGUCUCAGCCUUGAAGAUGGCUCAUUCCCAACUAUCCAGUCUAGCCAGGAUAACCAGACAGGAGAACCACCUGGGGGACUAGCCUGGCUAGUCUUUGGUCAACUUGACACACAUUAGAAUGUCAAGGUGAAGAAGGACCUACAAUGGAACAAUGCCUCCAUCAGAUGGUCUGUAGGCAAGUCUAUGAAUAUUUCCUUUUUUACUGAAAAAAUAAUUUUAUACAGUAUAUACUGAUCAUGUUUUCCCCUUUCUUGUAGAGCACUUUCUUAAUUAAUCACUGAUGAGAAAGGCCCCAGGUCACUGUGGGUGAGGCCAUACCUGGAUAGAUGGCCCUAGGUGCUGUAAGGAAGCAGGCUGAGCAAGCUAAGGGAAGCAAGCCAGU